rnacentral:rRNA from 11 species
UCUGGUGAUUCAUAAUAACUUCUCGAAUCGCACGGCCUUGCGCCGGCGAUGGUUCAUUCAAAUUUCUGCCCUAUCAACUUUCGACGGCUGGGUCUUGGCCAGCCAUGGUGACAACGGGUAACGGAGGGUUAGGGCUCGACCCCGGAGAAGGAGCCUGAGAAACGGCUACUACAUCCAAGGAAGGCAGCAGGCGCGCAAAUUACC